CAUAAUCCGCGGCGAUUCGGUGGAGGCUCGGUACAGCAUCGGGCCUCCAGGGAACACGGUGCGGGGCAACCCAAUUCCGUGGCGGGCCCGCCGCUGUAACCGGGGACGACGCUUGCACGAUGCCACUGAGGUAACGCUCGGGAAGGCGCAAGCCAAGGACGAUCCGGGAGCCAGAAGACCGACCGAUGAAUUUCAUAAGCC
rnacentral:ncRNA from 2 species